GGCGAUGAUGACAAAACAAACGCUUGUUUCUCUAAACAUUCGCAGUGACCGCUUGAGAUCUUUUGCCUUACCAGGCUGGAGAGCUUAUGCUGGUUAAUUCUUCCUUGGAUGUCAGAUGCC